AGAUUCUGGAAGACACCAGCUGAAUCCGGAAGCCACCAACUGAGCCAGCCCUGACCUACAUCCUUCCCUCCCCUUGAGACCAAAUCAAGGGAGGUACUUAAGGGGUGCCAGAAAGCAGAGGGAUGGACUACGAAUUAAGCAACGCCCUCAGCUUGCAGCUGAGGCCAAAACGACAGAAGAUGUCCAGAAGUUGGAAGGUGCUGGAGCAGCUCCAACCACCCGCGGCCAUUUCUGGCCAGGAGAUGGGCCUCCGGUAACUGACGCAGAAGCCUCAGGAAUACGCCUCACCAUUGAACUCCCAAACAAGUUAUUUCUAUUGUUGGAGGCAGAGAAGAUGAAGACAACAUUCAAGAUGGUGCUGUGACACCAUCUACAUCCAUGGCCAACGCAAAAGACAGAGGCACAAUCUUAUCUUCAGCCUGAAGUUUUUCCUGAGUUUCCUGAACACAUCCCGGCUGAAUCUCCAACCACUUACACCUGCUGCGAUCUGCACACCCGAUCCUGAUUACUAUUGCCUGCACCAUAUAAGCCACGACCAGACAUCCAUUCCCUGCCGGAUCGUUAGCGUAACCACACAUUUUGGAUCAGCCCACCUCCAGUCUUCCAGCCUCACUCCCUGCCGACCAACGAAACCUAAUCGUUUUCCCACAUUCAAUUCCAAAUACUCACCUUGUAUUUUCUACUUACCUCAUCCUGGUCUGCUUUUGGGUUCCAAAAAGACUUAUCGUGACAAUAAUGGAUUAUAAAAAAUAAAGUUUAAUAACUGGAGCAUCCUUCCUCUGAACACGACACUUGAGGUCAAGGAAUAUGUAUUCAUCUGUUUUCGGUUUGGUAGAGAAGCCACAGGUGGACUUGAUUCCUCCUGUGGCAUAUUCACCUGUUUAUAUAAGGCCCCACCCUUCACAAUGCAUGUCAAACCAAAAACCUAGUAAUUAAGUCCAAAAAAAUCAAUUAAUAGAGGUGGCUGUUCAGCCAGACUAAAC
ensembl:lncRNA